rnacentral:lncRNA from 1 species
GGAAAUGUAAAUGAAGAAAAUACCUAAUUAAAAAAAAAAAGAAAUUGUCUUGCUUAGAAAUUCCUCCAUCCUCCUGCUCUCUUCUUAAAACCUAAUCUAUAUUAGAGUUCACAGAAAAACUGGGUACCACACACCACAGAGAGGCACACGGGACAAUUAACACUUACCUCUCGGAACACUGGUGGUAAUUAAUAAGAAACCACUACAACGGGCUGUGUUUUUAUGUUUCCCACAAUCAGACGUGACUAAAGCUGGCUUCUUGUCUCCUUGUAUUCGUGGCUGUGGGGGGCACCUGGAACCACUGGCUGCUGGCCUCCACAUCUCCCUUCACAGGGAAAGCACUCCUGCAGCCAUUUGCCUAACAUUCCCGAGGGCCUCAGAUGUUUCUCAGACGCUGAUGACUCACUGCAUAGUAAGGUCAUCCCUGAAAACUCACGGAGAUAAAUUUCACUUUUCAGACCAAAAGUGUUUAUCCCGCCACUGACUCUGCCUUCUGACCCAUGUCAGGGUGGCUUCACAGAGGUGGCCAUUCACUUUGUCGGGUCACUUUUUCUUGAUUCUGCUCCACAGGCAUAAAAAUCACCCCACUGAUGGGAAAACUGCCCUUAUAGUGGCAGCGACCUCUGAGUAUCCCGAGUCCAGCGGUGUGUCUUUAAUCCCCUCUAACCCUGUCUGGGAGAGCUGCACAGGCCCACCAGUGUCUCCCAUUGGUCUUCUAAGCACCUUGAAUGUUUGCCUGUAAUUUCUGCAUGCUUUGAUGUUCUAGCCUAGCACGUCAGCAAAAAGAGAAAAAAUGAAAAAUCCCCAUAAAAGAUGGCUAAUUUAAUAGUAUCAUUUAUUUUUCUUUAAUUUGGAGCAAUUGCAACUGUGGGCCUCAACAGCAUUUCGAAUUGCAUACCAGAUGAGGCUCUUACUUAAACACAAAGAAAUGGACACACACAGACAGACACACCAUACUCAACAAAACAGAAAGAAAGACACAUACCCAUGUGCAUACAUAUAGACAGACAGUCACAAACACACACACAAAUGAAGCUAACAUCUCAGAGUAUUUGGUUUUCCCUACUUCCUUUAACACAAGGGCAGUAACUAUUCCCAAAUAAUGUUUCCUAUCUUAAAUAUUCUUUGCUCUUUCAUCCCUUAUUCCUUUGUUGUUCCAUGAAUAUACUUUUGAAGAAAUGGGCUUUGGGUUACUGAUAAUUUCAGAAUAAAUGUGUCCACUGAAUGCAAAGAUAUUCAAAGGUAAUAGAAAUGGACCCCACAACCUGGAUGCUCCUUUCUAAAAGAGCAUGUAUUAUUUCUAAGUUUAUUUUAUGGCCUAGGAAGCCUCAGGUCCAAAUUAAAACCUAGCUCCAUACAUUGUCAGAACUUGGGGAUUAAGCAUCGACACAUCUUGUAGUUGAAGCAGUGACCUGUCACCUGUAUGGCUGUCUUCAAAUACUCCUAAUGAUAUUUUGGAGGAAAAAAAAAAGUCCCUCAUUACCACAUGAGUUGGGAGAAAAAAAUGAACUCACAGAUCACCAGCAUCUCUGCUCCUCUCCCCAUGUCAUCCCUGUCCUGUUGGGAUGCGGUUCAGUUCCCAGGAGACUGGAAUGCCCCUGAAAAUUGACAGUCACAUUCUAUUAUAACAUAUUUUCCCCAUUUAAUAACAUGGCCUAGGUAAUGACUCAUAACCCUCAAAGGACCUCCUGCCACUGACAGCUGAACUCAAGUAAUUGAGAGCACCAUGCAAUUUGGCAGUGACUGCACCUUUAUGGUUGGAUCAAGCAUUAAAGCAACAGUAUAUCUGGAUAGGCUUUCAGUAAAGUGACAGCCUCGUGAUGCGUUUCUGAAUCCGUUUUACAUGUGUAACUCUGGUGUCCCCAGAUUGUGUAGCCUAGAAUAGGGCUAUGAGUGCUUACUCUAUUCCAUUGUAAAUCUAUUACAGAUAGGGACAUUUCCUCUUUCUCAUCUCUGUCAUUUCAGUGUCGGGAUUAUAGAAUGUAACCUUGGCAUAGAGUGUGCUCAGUCAUCAUUUUCUCUUCCUCUUCCUAUGUCGGUUGGGUAUACAGACUUUGACAGGAACCACCACCUAUCAACAUCAGGACAACCACAUUCUCUAACAGCCGUGUAAGCCCUGUGUGUAUUAACAUGACUUAUUUACUCAUGCAGCCUCAAUGUGUAUAGCUGCUUCCUUCCUACUCCCUGAUGGUUUCAGUUAGGACUUCUUGAGACAUUUCCACAAAUGUCCACAUCCAUCCUUCUCAUGAACACAGCUCAUAUAGCUAGAGUCGGCCUCACUUUUGACUUCUCACUGGCAUCCUCAGAGAAUCACAGCUUGUUCUGGGACUCUCAGAAGCCUGUACUCUAUCUCAAGAGCGUCCCUCCUCCUCACCAUUAUCAGCACUUCAGCAUACAAAUACAACCUGGUACUUUAGCCCCUUUUCAGCUUUAAGACAUGUCUCCUACAUCACUAGGACUGUGCAUGUGUGUGUUCAUGUUUGUGUUCAUGUGUGUGUGUUCAUGUUUGUGUUCAUGUGUGUGCGUUCAUGAGUGCUUCUAUUGAAGCAUGCGCACAUGCACACAGUGCAUGCAAAGUCUAGAGAUCCAUAUCCGAUGUCUUAUCAAUCAAACUCCAGUUUGUUUUCUGGCCCCACUAAUUCUGCUGCACUGGUUGGCCUGAGAUGCUCCAGUGAUCCUUGUGUCUCCCCUCCCCAGCUCUGGAUUACACAUAUUCUGCUAGCCCCAUAUGCUUACACAUGUACUGGGAUCAAGCUCAGGUCCUCACACUUGAGCAGCAAACACUUCAACAACUGAGUCACAUCCUUAUUGCCUCAAGGCUAACUUUGUUCCUUGGCAUGUCUAUAUAUAUAUAUAUAUAUAUAUAUAUAUAUAUAUAUGCCGCAUGCAUCUGGUAUAUUUCAAUAAGCAUUCAGUAAUUAAUAGUAUAGUCAUUUCUGAAUUAAACCUUGAAUAUGUAAUUCCAUCAAUCAGAGUUAUAGCACAUAUUAAGCUAUCACCUGUGUGGGGUCAUCAUGGAGGCAAGCAAAGGGCAGUUUUCCAGGAAGUUGAACUUCAAGUCCAAGCUUUGACAUGUUGUGUGACAGAUCUUUCUUGGGCAGUUGCAAUAACCACAAAUCUACUCAUGCCCAAAAUGGAACCCAUGUCAGACCAAAGUAACACUUGCAGCAAUAUCCAAGCUGCCAAGCCAAUGAGGUUUUGCUGCAGUUGCUGCCAGGAGCAAAGGUGAUGACUGAUCAGGACUAACUCAAAGGCAGCUGUAAGAGCAGAAAGCCCACCCCAAAAUGCGUAACAACUCCCCUAAAAUUGCAGCCCUGAAGUUCCCUACAGUUUGCAGACAGAUCCACAGUCCCAAUAUCUCUCUUUCUGCAGAGUGGCUGCUCGGAGUCUUCACUCCAGCUAUUGUUUUCUCCCUUCUAUUCUGUUGGGAGAGGGCCUCGAGAAUCUUCUAAGCUUUCUUCCCAAAUAAGUGAGUGACUUUGUACACCUCUCAUUUACCACCCAAGGCUCCUGAUACCCCUCUUUCCUGGUUCAAAUGUUUCCAUUUGGAGAGAGUGUUGUGACUGGGAGGUACACGCCACACCAGAGCAUUGACUCCUCUGUCUUUAGGUGAUGGCUCUUCAUAUCAAAACCUCAUCUCCAUCAGUGAAAUUUCAGUUUUCCCAAAGCUUUCUCACAGGGUAGGAAUAAGGAUUAAAGUUGGUGCCACCUGUAACUGUAUAUAAAUUGUGGUUUAGCACUGUGCUGGGGCUGGGGUGUGUGUGGCUCAAUGUAUAAAAAAAAAAACUUGCUGCUUGGGUAUAAAGAUCUGAGUUCCGAUUUGAAAGGAGUAGCCACGUCUAUAACCCCAGCACUUUAAAGCAAGGUGGGAGGCAGAAACAGGUGAGUACCAGAGAGCAUGCAGGGCAGCUAGCCUGGCAUGCGAGAACAAAUGACAAUAGACCUUUCCUCAAACAGGGUGGAAAGUGAAGACCAGCACUCAGGGUUGUCCCCUGGCACGUGUCCUGGCAUGUACAUGCACACAUUCACACAUACAAGUAUAUACAUGCACACAAAAUAUUAUGAAAAUGAGGCACAUCACUUUUCCUAUGUCCCCUUCUCCUAUGGAAGGCGAGAUGAAUUGAGACAGCCUGCAUUCUUUUGUUAACAGUGUGUGGAACUUGCACAAUGUAGAACACAAAUCUCAGCAUGAGAAAUGGGCUUCUGGUUCCCCUGGUGCAGUUGGGGCCACUGCUACUGGUGUGGAGGGAAAUGAGGGUAAAGCCGAGUCUCCCCUGAGUCUCUGAGUCUCAGGCAAAGUCUGCACUCUGCUUCUGCAGGCAUGGGCUGCUAUUGUAGUUUGUUUUGCCUGCCAUGAAAAAAAAAGAAAAAAUGAAAACAAAAACAAAAACAAUUCAAAUACAGCCAGAGACAUUUUUGCUGGCUUGUUUUUAACUUCCAGAACAAAGUUUAAUUUAGAUUCCAUUUCCCCUGAUGAGGAAGAGCAUCCCUGGCUAGAGGAAAACCUGACACUCCUUUAUUCUUGCAAGGAUGCUAAAAAUUUUUCUGGGUCACAAAACAAGCAGGGGAGGGAGAAAUGAAGGUGCAUGCAAGACUCAUAAAAUAAGCAUUCCCCCGUGGUAGUUAUUAGAGGGCUCGCAUUAAGAACAUGUCAGCCCCGGGAGCUUGAGCCAUAUUUCCCCUCAGUUUUCUUUGUUCCUUUGUUCAGGCUUGCUUGUAUAACAUUCUAGAAAGAUCUGCUUUGCCCCAUGUUUUCCAAAGUGCUUGGAAGUGCUGAUUAGCGAUUAUCAAGCAGCACUCAUUGUAGGGUUUGGAAAGCCACUAAUAAAUAUUACUCUAUCCAAAGGCUUAACCAAGAUGUCUCCUAAAACAAAUCCCCCUGUCAGAAAGAAGCAGUAGCAAGAGAGCUGAGUGCCCUUGGUGCCAUGAGAGGCACUUAAUCCAAGUUAUCAAUUAAGCGUGUUCCUACCUGUGUGAAUAUCCCAGGAGUGUGUGACAUGGUCCCUCUUCUCCAAGAAACUGUUUCAUGGAGGGGAUUAGAUUACGUAAAUAAGAAAGUAAAAAACUGAUGUCUAAGUUGUUGACUGAUUCCAGAUGAGAGAAACCACUGUGGACUGUAGUAUCAUCCUAGGAAAGUUCUCACGUAGAAGGUCAACUGGGAUGAGCUUGCCAGGGCAGCAAAGACAAACAUACCCUGGGUGUUUUCAUCUCCAUUCAUCAGCUUUUUUAACCCUGUCUGCUCUGUCCAUGCAUCAUGUGGCCUUUACUGGCCACCUCCCUUGACAAUGGUGUUUAUCAUUGUGCUGCAAGAUAGCACUCAGCACAUUGUGUCAUGGUACAGGCAUUAUGAAUCUUCUAUCUUUUAUUCUAAAGAGACCCAGGUGGCAGAAAAGUACUUCUGAGAACUAGACAGCCACUCCAAACCAGAAAUGUGUCCUCUGUCUUUCCCAGGAGAAUCAAUUCUAACCAGAAAAUCACAGGAGCUAGAGAAAGAGGGUGAGUGAGCUGUGAAGUUGGAGGAGAAGAAAGAAAAAGAAGAUGGCAAGGCAGCUCAGCCUCUGCCUUUCCAGUGCCUUCCCCACUUCUUCCCCACUCUCUCCAUCCACCUCCUCUUCCUUGAGCAACCUUUCUCCCUAGCUGGCUCAGCACCUUAGACGAGGAUAUACCACAAGCAUUGGUCUCAGCCCUAAUUUCCCACUCCCUCUAUCAGUCCUCCACCUCUGCACAGAAGGCUUUCAAUCCUGCUCACUCUAAGCAAGAUCUGUGUUCUGCUCUGAGCUCCAGUCUGUUCUCCAAGUUUUCAGUCAGCUCAAAUAACACACAUAAAUGCAACUACAUCCCAGUGAAAAUUGUCUCCUCUUUCUACCCUGUUAUUUACAGGACUGUUUUCACCAAGGUGUUUCUCUUUCCUUAUACUGAGCAUCCCAGUACAGAUAUAAGAAUCAGUCUCUUUUCCAGCCUGUUUGCUGGUGUUGAAACAUUCCUUCCAAGAUGUUGAGGUGGAUGGCUCCAGUGUGCUUCCUGGUGCUUUGGGGAUCAAUUUCCCAUCAUCCUCCUGGGCUCCAGAGCCCCACUGCUAAAAGGAAGGAGGGGACAUAAUUGCAUGGGUGAGAACCUGGCAAGAGAUGGCUUGUGCCCAAAGUUAUUGUGCUGGGGUAAAAGGAGGGGAAGGAAGUUAGACAGGAUAUAGAAUCUUAUCGUCCACGGCAACUGGCAAAAAGGACAUGCAUUGGAAAGGCACUGUGGAUCGUUUCAGCCUGUGGUGCUCUGCAUACUGAGAGGCUGGGAAUCACAUGAAAGGGACUUAGUUGCCUUUUCCCAUCUGUUCACUGGUGUUAAAUUCUUUUAAGAGUCACUCAUUCCAUCAUGUACACCCAGCAAAAUAUUCCCACCACUUCCUUCUAAAUGAUUAUUAUUAAAACCAGCCAAGGAAAUCCAUAGCAUGUUGUAGAAGGCCGUGCAAUGAAAACUCACACGUUCUCUGGGGUUGUAAAUGUCUUUAACAUGUCCUACUUCAUGUGACUUUUAGCCCAUUACCACCAUUGGGUUUGCUUCUCAUUGUUCUCAAGGGUAACACUACAGCAAAGGCUUGUGGCUUCAGGGGAGUUUUAUUCUAAGUUUUAGAAUGGAGUACAGGACCCAGACACUCUUGCCUGGGGAGGACGAGAGCAUAGCGAGGCAGGUUGUUCCUCUGACUCCCAUGCCUUGUGUACAUCAGAAAAGGAGCUCCUUGUUUUGAUUCAGAAACAAAGUUUCCAAGUUAUAUGGCUUUUGGACCGCCCCCCAGAAGACAUGUCUGUAGGCUCCCUCUCCCAGUGGGCUAUCACAGCACAACCAGGUUUAUUGCUCACAGUUGCUCUCCUGAUGAGCAAAAAGCUACCUGCAAAAGGAUUUAUCAGAACAUUGAAAAAAAAAAAAAGGAAAAAAAAAAAACAUGCUUACUUCUGUCCAUGGAGAGAUGACUUAUUUUGAGGUUUUUAACAUUGCUUUAAUUAUUCAACAAUACUUAUAGGGCCCCAGUGACUUGACAAACAUCAGAUGUAGUCUGCACUCUUUGAAUACAUCUCUGUAUAGAAUAAAAAUCUCAAGAUUUUUUCUUUUUGUCCUUUGCAUUUUGGUCAAGUCUGCACUUAGUGUCCAGAAAUCUCUUUGUACAAGAUGAGUGAAUGAUGGUUGUUAAAGGCAUGGUCUCUCCUCCCAAGCAGCAGUAAAGCUGGAGUGCCUGUCCUUCCUCUCAAGCUUCUUCUGGGGACACUGGAAGCAGCAAGCAAGGGCAUCCCAGAGAGACAGAUGCCAUCACGCCCACGUCUUUUAUGCUCCCCACACCUUGACACCAGCCACUCACUAAUGAGUUUCUUUCCUUGCAGAGUCAGGAGUUCUGAUUUGACUCUCAGAUUUGCAGGAUUUUAAGGUUUUCUUUACUCUGUCCUUUAAACUAUGGAGUUCCUGUUUUCUGUCUUAUUGCUCCGAUCCUGACAUAGACUACCAGAAGAGGCACUGCCCUUUAGAUGGCAUUUAUUUAUGCAUAGUUUCAUUAAUUUGCUCUUAAAAGGACUUAAUACUAGGCAGUGUAUGGAGACAUGAAGACUAGAGGUGCAUGAAGAGUGGACUGGGAGGGCUGGAAAAGGAACCAAUGAUAAGACACAUGGCUUCUGAAAUCUUUAAAUUACCUUUAUUUAGCUAUCGCAUUGAGAGGUGCACACAUUCUGUAGCCUACAUGUGGAAAUCAGGAAUUAGCUGACAGAGAGAGAGAGAGAGAGAGAGAGAGAGAGAGAGAGAGAGAGAGAAACUCUGUGGUGCUAGGCUCAUGCCCAUUCUUUGAAAAGCACAAUGUCAAGACCUUAUCUCAGAUUGUACUUUCAGUGAUACACAACAGAACAACUGGAGAAUAAAGGUGCAGCUCUUGACCAUUGAGUAGUAUCGAAAGAAAGUCUGAUUUUUCUCUCUUGUCCAUCCAUCUUGUCCCAUUGCUGGAAACACAGAAGCAGAAGUGGUGUGUGUGUGUGUGUGUGUGUGUGUGUGUGUGUGUGUGUGUGUGUGUGUGUGUUAUAGUAGUAGUAGUCGUCAUCGUCAUCGUCGUAGUAGUAGUACUAGUAGUCAUAUGACAACCCUAGGUGCCAUUCCUCCGGUGCAAUCUGUACUGUCAACCUUGGUUUUAGAGUCAAAGUCUCUUACUUGGUGAUGGACAGGCAAUCACCAAGUAAGCCAGACUAGAUGGCUAGUAAGCCCCCCAGGGACCUUCCUGUCUCUUCCUCCCCAUUGCUAGGGUUCCAUGACCAUCUUUGGCUUUAUGUGGACACUGGCGACUUCACUCAUGCCCUUGUGGUUGCAAGACAAGCACUUCUGCUGGCACCCUCAGAGCUGUUACAAGGACAAAAUCAGGGGCUCUGUUCAGGUAAUAUGAGAAAGAGAAUUUUAAGAGGGAGUCAUCACACCCCUCCCUCCAGGGUUGUGCGUUCUGUCCCAGGGAAUGGAACAUUGCAUCCUUAGAAGGCCAUGCAGGUUGCUGCAGGUCCGCUGCAGGCAGCAAGGAGGGGAGAUAAUGGUCCUUUGUUUGUUCCUGUUUCUCUCAUUCCUAUGCAAGCUGAGUGCUAGCUCAGGGUACAAGGUAGAGCUGGGACUCUCUCCACACCUUUAAAAUUCCAGGUGUGUUGCUAUUGACUGACAUCUGGAACCUGAUACUGUGGUUAGUAUAGAGUAAACGUUCUUCUCUUUGAGAAAAAGCAUAAACCCUUCAGAUUUCCAGUGAGUGGUGUAUAGUUCCCUGGAAGGGCAGUGGCCUAUUGGGUGUCAGACAUAAUUUAUAAUGUAUUCAUAAUAAUAUAUUAAACCAACAUGACAUUUAUGGAGCAGCCUAAACUUGACUAACAACACCAGGGACCCCAGACACUGGGGUUGCACUACCAGUUCUUGGGAAAUAGCCCAGGCAGGAACUGCUCACACACAUUCUUUUACUCUUUCUCAUGCCUACCAGCACAGCAUUCUGCAGCUGGUCUCUACACUGUGCAUCCGAAGGGCUCCAUUGCCCUCCCUGUCUCAGGGACAUUGGGGCUGCCUUGUUCAAAAGAGCCACUUCAGUGUCUUUGCUUGGGAACAAUGUGUAAUUAUGGAGCCCUCGUCAGGAAGGACAUUUAAAACAGAUCCCUGCCGCCUAGAAUUUCUCUCCUCAUAAACACCUGCUGCAGUAGAAAUGCAGGUUCUAAGAUAUAGUCCAAAAAUACUAAAUCACUAAAGGGAAAAGAUAUGAAUUUGUUAUAGGCUUUCUAGGAUUUCUGAAUACUUAAACAUGCUACUUGGAUUUUUUUUUUAACCAUACAGCCUUUAACUGUGCAUAUGAUAAAUUAGAUAGAUAGAUACACACAUACAUAGAAAUAUAGACAGACAGAUAGACCAAUGGAUAGACAGAGACAGACAGACAGAUGGAUAGAUAAAUAUAAUAGAUGAAAGAUAGAUAGAUAGAUAGAUAGAUAGAUAGAUAGAUAGAUAGAUAGAUAGAUGAUAGAUAAAUAGGUAAUUGAUAGAUGGAUAUAUAGAGGCAAAACAGUGUGUGUGUGUGUCUGUCUGUCUGUCUGUCUGUCUGUCUGUAAGAUACCUUGGAUACCAACUCACUUUUCCCUGUGAAAAUCCAUGUGACAUUUCCCUACACUGAAUACCACAGAGCCCAAAAAUACAGCACUCUCCACCAGAGCUAUAGCUGUUGAGUUCUGAUUUCAGAGCUUGUGUGGAGCCAGUCAUGAUCAUGAGGCAGAUAUAUCUUCCCCUAUAUCUUCUUUCUUCCAGCUUUCCAUAUGUGAAGAACACCUAACAGCCCAGAUCUGUGCAUACCAAAACCAGAUCAGAUAAACGGAUACAAAAUAGCUCCUUAGCUAAGUAUGGCACACACACCUGGAAUCCCAGCAUUUGGAACUAAAGCAAAAGGAUUACCAUGAGUUCAAGGCCAUUCUGAUCUGCAUAGCACGUUCCAGGUCCUGGAUUUAAAAAAUUUUAAAGAUAUAGCUGUCUCCUGUGAGGCUUUGCCAAUGCCUGGCAAAUACAGAAGUAGAUGCUCACAGUCAUCUAUAGGAUGGAACACAGGGCCCCCAAUGUAGGAGCUAGAGAAAGUACCCAAGAGCUGAAGGGGUCUGCAACCUUAUAGGUGGAAGAACAAUAUGAACUAACCAGUAACCCCAGAGCUCGUGUCUCUAGCUGCAUAUGUAGCAGAAGAUGGCCUAGUCGGCCAUCAUUGGGAAGAGAGGCCCCUUGAACUAGCAAACUUUAUAUGCCCCAGUACAGGGGAACGCCAGGGCCAAGAAGUGGGAGUGAGUGGGUAUAGGAGCAGUGCGGGGACAUUUCAAAUGUCUUCAUUACAUUUAAAACGUAAAUGAAGAAAAUAUCUAAUAAAAAAUGGGGGGAAAAAGAAAUAGAAAGGUUAUUUUUUUUAAAAGAGAAAAAAAAAAACUCCAAGCAAAUUCACUUGUGUAAAGCAACCACUUUCUUUUAACGCUAACUUAAAAACACAAUCACACCUGCCCUUCAGUUCCUAUUGGUGCUCGCUUUAACACACAGUCAUCUGUUCUCAUUUGGAGUUUCAAGACUGUUUUUGCAGUAAUUGUAGGAGUUGCCCUGGGACUUCCCACAGCCAUCAAGUCCUUUAUAAUUUGAGGAUAGAUAGAGAGGGAGAGAGGAAGAGAAAGUGAGGGAGAGACCAACCAACAAACAGACAGAACGAGAUGGGGGUGGCAGAGAGAGAACACCAAUGUGGGAAAUAUUUAAGAUAGAAUUCUCCCAAGUCUACCUAACUGCCAUGGAGAUGACUGGUGUCCACACAGUCUUGUGUUGUACAUGAUAUGUCUAAGCAAAGAUAUCUUACUUAGAACAGAACAGUAUACAAGAUUAAAAACAUGAAUGCCGAAUAAGUAUAAGAUAGAGAUAGACAACUUCAACUGAUAUGAAAGAAAUGCAAACAACCAUACGCUUUCUCCAUUUGAGUUGAUGAAACUUCUUCCCUUGGGUUACCCGGGACAUCAGGAAGUGAGACACCUGAGACAUCAGGAAGUGAAACUCUCGUGCUCUGUGUGAGAAAGUGAUUAUGUGUGACCUCAGAGGAUGUUUUGUCAGUAUGUAUCAAACCAUUAGGAUGUUCAUGUUUCACUCAAUUAUUCUUCUUAAAACUUCUAAUUAAAAAGUGAUCAAAGAAUCACAUAUCUACGGGGCCUAGCAAACACAGAAGUGGAUGCUCACAGUCAGCUAUUGGAUGGAUCACAGGGCCCCCAAUGGAGGAGCUAGAGAAAUUACCCAAGGAGCUAAAGGGAACUGCAACCCUAUAGGUGGAACAACAUUAUGAACUAACCAGUACCCUGGAGCUCUUGACUUUAG